rnacentral:rRNA from 1 species
GAUGAACGCUGGCGGCGUGCCUAAUACAUGCAAGUCGAGCGAACAGAUGAGGAGCUUGCUCCUCUGACGUUAGCGGCGGACGGGUGAGUAACACGUGGAUAACCUACCUAUAAGACUGGGAUAACUUCGGGAAACCGGAGCUAAUACCGGAUAAUAUAUUGAACCGCAUGGUUCAAUAGUGAAAGACGGUUUUGCUGUCACUUAUAGAUGGAUCCGCGCCGCAUUAGCUAGUUGGUAAGGUAACGGCUUACCAAGGCAACGAUGCGUAGCCGACCUUAGAGAGUGAUCGGCCACACUGGAACUGAGACACGGUCCAGACUCCUACGGGAGGCAGCAGUAGGGAAUCUUCCGCAAUGGGCGAAAGCUUGACGGAGCAACGCCGCGUGAGUGAUGAAGGUCUUCGGAUCGUAAAACUCUGUUAUUAGGGAAGAACAAAUGUGUAAGUAACUAUGCACGUCUUGACGGUACCUAAUCAGAAAGCCACGGCUAACUACGUG